UAACCCAAGGUACCACUGUACUCAAGUCUUGUAGGCAAUAUGCAUGUGCUUGAAUGUACCAGAGGUUUCAUGUGACCAGUCUUAGAAUUCAGAUUCUGCACUUCCCAUUAGCAUUCAGCUAAGCAAAAGAUCCACAAGAGACCCUGUCGCCUCUCAUUCUCACACAGGGUCGCCAUGACAUCAGAGCAAAUGAGCCAAUGGCCUCACCAGAAUCAGCAGAAAAGUCAAGAGAGAGAUUGCAAGAGUGAAAAGCUGCCAAGCAAAGAGAUGAGUCUUUGCUCCAAAAAGAUCUCACAGCCCUUCCUACAUGCAGUGACAGGAAGCAACAGGAAAUGGACAGAGGCAAGAAAGUGAUUCAGCAUUUAUCAGAAUCAAAGAAUGUUGAGGUUCCUGGACGUCCUCUUCCAUUACAGUAAAGUAGAAAACCAGGAACCUUAUAUUUGUAUGUCUAACCAACAUUAAGGAAGUAAAACAUCUGGAAGGACUGAAACUCGCAAGGAUUGUGUUGCUGAUUUGCAACUGAAAGUAAGAAGUGAAAUGUUCAAGGGAGAAAAUAUAUAUGUGCCAUUUUAAAGCCUUGGGAUGGUCUUUCUUGUGUAAACAGCCAGUGAUUUUAUCUGGAUGCUGCUGAACUGGAGGUAUAAAUCUAUUCUUCAAAAUGAGUCAUAGUGAAUCAUCUAAGUUUACUGCUAGGGAGCUAUUAUAGAUUAUAGAUUAGGACAAACCCAACACUGAGUCCUGCAACAGAAACAUACGCAGCAUGGAAUGCACUAACAACAAACCAGUUUACUAAAUUGUUUUCAUAAAGAGUUGCAAAUGAAUAGAUGUAAUCAAAUUUGUAAUCUUAUCCUGCAAUUCAUAUUCUACACUUCCCACCACCACAAACCAUGGUGUAUUCAGGGAAGGACUUACUGGGAUUGAAGUCCAGCCCCCCCCCCCAAGCAAGACAGAAUAAUGUAAGCCACAAUAACAAGGACAUUAUGUGUUAGAUUUGCUAUAUAGCUUGCUUUUAUAAUCCACAUUAAACUGUAUGUAUACAGUUUAUGGAUUAUUAAUUGCUGUGUUUUAAGAUCCUAACUUUCCUUUUUUGAACAGAGGAAAGUUCAGAAUGGGGCUUUCAGACCUCACUGCCCCACACCAACAUGUGCUCCUAGCAGUUGGGGGCCUUUGGGCAUGAUCUGGAAUAUGAUGCAGGGGAUUGCAGAUGGCGGAAUUAGAGGAAACUAUGGAAUUGUUAUCAGAGGAUUGAUUUCCAUUCCAUAAGUGGGAUGAAUAAGCAAACAUGAGCAAUUUUCACCCAUGUUUCCAUCAGAAUUCUUCAAAAUCCCUGUUGAGGAACCAAAUCUAUAUAUUUCUAUCUUUGGGAAUCCACAUGGAAUCAAGCUUUAGAAGGCAACCAAGAUGUCUUUUCAUGGGAAAUUGACUCUUCCUGGCCACAGCUGUGAAUUUCUAAGACUAUGCUUUCAGCUUUUGGGAGAACUGAUACUGCUUUAAAGACCAGCAUGCAUGAUUGCCAAAGUUCUUGUCUGAUGCACCCUGCUCAACUUGUAUAUUUUUAUGCUUACAAGAAAAUACACAAGCUUCUCAAAAGGGAACUCAACUCUGUAGCAGCUGGAGUUUCCUACUGCUUAGAGAAAUGGGAAGCAUCACAACACAUUUUGUAACAUCAUCUGUCUAGUUUUCAAAGCUUGAGCAGCUGUUAGAUAGGGUUUCUAAUUGUGAUGUGGAAAUCUGUGCGCAAACCAAACCUGCAAUCAAGGCAAUCCACUUAGAAAACCUUGUUGAAUAACUUUUUUAAAGCACCUUUCCUCAACCUGAUUCCUGCCAGAUGUUGUUGAACUACAACUCCUAUCAGCCCUAGCAUGACCAAUGAUCAGGGAUGAUAGGAGAUGUACUCCAAAAUAUCGGGGGGAGGCACCAGUUUGGGGAAGGAUGCUUUAAAAUGACACAGUCAUUUCCAAAUCAGUGUUCCAAGCAGCAAGCUCAAAAUUCAUAUAUUCAUACCGAAAAUGGGAUGCUUCCAGAUAUUCCCUUGAUGUCUACCCCACAGCAUACAACAUAUUUUGGCCAACACAGCCAGCAUGUUUAUACUACAGAUUUGGUGAUAAGAAGCAAGCAAUCUCAUAGCAGCAUUGCUGAUUAAUCCUGCUUGACGAACUAUUUGUGUUACUAAGUGCAAACAGUGUUGUGUGAGUAAAACCCUGCUUUUGGCUUACUCACAUCUCAGGAGAUAAAGUGAUAACAUUAAAAAAGUCCUA